rnacentral:ncRNA from 2 species
CGACCUGACUCGGGGUGCCGCUUGAAAAAAACGGCUGAGAAAUACCCGUGACCUGAUCUGGAUCAUGCCAGCGUAGGGAAGUCGGCGCUGCUUGGC